UGCUUUAAUGCUGUACAUUCUUUCAUAAAGUGUUCUGGACUCCACUCUUCUUUCAUCUCAAAUGUUGCAGCUUGUCUGUCCGUAUGUAAAUCUCUUGUCAUGGGUAAAUUUUACGUACAGGGUCAACACUACACCGUUAUCGCUCCGCCCUCUUGCACUAAUGUUAGGUGUUAACCGAGCCGUGACUGUACUUACCAUGUUGCUGGCAUACUAUAAAUAAAAAAAUAAAAAAAUAUGAAACAUGGCUUACAGUAUGAAAUGAGCAGUACGACAAGCAUUCGCUCGCCCGUGAGCGAGGCGCAAGUGAUUGAGCGAAACACCAUUACUGCUUCCACCACCACGCCAAUAACUACACCAACAACUUACAACUGCAUUGACUACUACACACCAUCACCACGCCAGGUACCAGUGAGGUGGUUCUCCAGGGCAUCAGCCAAAUGCCUCAAAAGGUUGGAGGUCAAAACACAAAUGGAAAAUGUACAGAAAGGCAGCACGACCAGCACUUGUGGGCUCAAGAGUCACUGCCAGACGAUAGAGAUACCUCCGCGACACUGCAUCAUAGCGUGCAUGGAAGGUGGAUGGCACCAGGAUGGUCUUGUGGACUCUGUGAGAAGACAGGAGACUGCAGCAGUGGAUGCUAAGGAAGUUGAACAGAAGGCUGCUAAAUAUGAGGAAAAUCACCACUUGUAUCCCUGGAAGAUGGAAUGGAAGGAUACACCAAACACAGAAUAAAAUGGUGGAUGCAUCA